rnacentral:rRNA from 1 species
GGGGUGCUCGAGCGGCGAACGGGUGAGUAACACGUGAGUAACCUGCCCUUGACUUUGGGAUAACUUCAGGAAACUGGGGCUAAUACCGGAUAGGAGCUCCUGCUGCAUGGUGGGGGUUGGAAAGUUUCGGCGGUUAGGGAUGGACUCGCGGAUUAUCAGCUUGUUGGUGGGGUAGUGGCUUACCAAGGCUUUGACGGGUAGCCGGCCUGAGAGGGUGACCGGCCACAUUGGGACUGAGAUACGGCCCAG